rnacentral:lncRNA from 10 species
ACUUUAACAAAUCUUGCAGCCGCACACUCUUUGGGUCCGCCCGUUUCUCUAAUCAAGUUGUAACACUCGCUGCUGUGGUCCACAGCUUCAUUCCUUGAAGCCCGUGAGACACGAACGCUUCCAUUGAGAAAAACCUUCCAUCAGAAGAAGACUUCUCGUCUCAGUGGGACUGCUGAGUUGAAUGGAUGACCUUUGUUUGUUUAAACUGUUGGAAAAUCAAUAUUUAAAAUGAAAUCUAGAAACUGAAGUGUGCCCUCUGCAGGAUCACCAGAAUGAUGGGAAAACUGAACACAAUCAACUCAUGAACUCCCCAAGGCCCUAUACAUCAAAAGGUGAAGCUGGGUCAUGAAGGUCAUGAAGGCCCUCAGUGUGCAGCCUCUGUAAACCUGCUAAAACUAUUCUAUGAAAAUGAACAGGACUAUUCUUCCUCAAACAAAGAGAUCGUGUGAUGAAGACUCACCAGAGCUGUUCUCUAUAAGCUUGAAGAGCAAUGGUAUCAGGUGGAAAGAACUUAGAGGCCGAGGAUAUCCAGGAUGCACAUGUUGCCAGCAGCUACUAUCAAAGUUUAAGUGGGAUAUAAGUGUCAUGGGGAGGAUCUGAAAAUGGACUCCAUAGAAAGAGACUCUGAGAUGAAAGACACAAAACUGAGAACAUGCUUGAUGAAGAAACACUUGAUGAAGUCUUUCAAAAGUCAGGAACAAGAAAUAGACACAAUGAACACUAGUAACAAACAUCAGACAGCAGGUGCUUUUUUUUCUGAAGCUUUGGUAGUGUAACUGUAAGAGUCCUGGAAUUGGAAAAGCAAAUCCAGAAGUUGAGUUCCAUGACUUUUUUGCUGUUUGCCUUUGGUUAAGAGUGGACGUGAAUGGAUUCUAUUUCUUCAAGGAAAUAAAAAAAACUCAUUCACAAUUACUGUAAUUAUUACGUAUGGAACGGAGAAAGAAGAGAAAAGGAAUGUAAGAUGGUGAUAGGUUAAAAGGAUCACGGGCGUUGAAGGUAGAU